rnacentral:rRNA from 1 species
AACGAACGCUGGCGGCAUGCCUAACACAUGCAAGUCGAACGAGACCUUCGGGUCUAGUGGCGCACGGGUGCGUAACGCGUGGGAACCUGCCCUUAGGUUCGGAAUAACUCCCCGAAAGGGGUGCUAAUACCGGAUAAUGUCUUCGGACCAAAGAUUUAUCGCCUUUGGAUGGGCCCGCGUUGGAUUAGCUAGUUGGUAGGGUAAAAGCCUACCAAGGCGACGAUCCAUAGCUGGUCUGAGAGGAUGAUCAGCCACACUGGGACUGAGACACGGCCCAGACUCCUACGGGAGGCAGCAGUGGGGAAUAUUGGACAAUGGGCGAAAGCCUGAUCCAGCAAUGCCGCGUGAGUGAUGAAGGCCUUAGGAUUGUAAAGCUCUUUUACCCGGGAUGAUAAUGACAGACCGGGAGAAUAAGCUCCGGCUAACUCCGUG